GGGGCUGACCGGUUUUGACGGCGUGAAGCUCAUGCGAGUAUAAGCAUGUAUGGAGUUGGUAGAACCUCCAUUUAAAAAUUCUUCUAAACAACAAGAGGCAAUACUCAGUAUGCCAUGGCUGCUUAAUCUAGUAUAGAUUAACCAUUCGCCACAUCUCUCUCCUGCUAACCUCUGCCGCGGGGGAAUCAGAGGUGUCGACACGUAGAGGCGUUUAAUGGCGGUUUUCUUACCAUUAAAUAGUAUCGGAGGAAAUAAGGAUUGAAUUUGGUAUGUCGGACGGCUUCUCAAUCUCGAAAAACAAGACCGAAUAAACAUGUAGAAGGCUCGACAUCGGCCAUGUUCGGACCAGGGUUCGAAUCCCUGCAGCUCCACGA
rnacentral:tmRNA from 1 species